rnacentral:miRNA from 1 species
UAUAUAUGCAUGCAUAUAUAUAUAUAUAUAUAUAUAUGCAUGCAUGCGUGCAUGCAUGCAUAUAUAUAUAUAUAUAUAUAUAUAUAUAUAUGCAUGCAUGCAUG